AUGAACGCUGGCGGCGUGCCUAAUACAUGCAAGUCGAGCGAACGGACGAGAAGCUUGCUUCUCUGAUGUUAGCGGCGGACGGGUGAGUAACACGUGGAUAACCUACCUAUAAGACUGGGAUAACUUCGGGAAACCGGAGCUAAUACCGGAUGAUAUUUUGAACCGCAUGGUUCAAAAGUGAAAGACGGUCUUGCUGUCACUUAUAGAUGGAUCCGCGCUGCAUUAGCUAGUUGGUAAGGUAACGGCUUACCAAGGCAACGAUGCAUAGCCGACCUGAGAGGUUGAUCGGCCACACUGGAACUGAGACACGGUCCAGACUCCUACGGGAGGCAGCAGUAGGGAAUCUUCCGCAAUGGGCGAAAGCCUGACGGAGCAACGCCGCGUGAGUGAUGAAGGUCUUCGGAUCGUAAAACUCUGUUAUUAGGGAAGAACAUAUGUGUAAGUAACUGUGCACAUCUUGACGGUACCUAAUCAGAAAGCCACGGCUAACUACGUG
rnacentral:rRNA from 1 species